GACGAACGCUGGCGGCGUGCUUAACACAUGCAAGUCGAACGGAAAGGCCCUGCUUUUGUGGGGUGCUCGAGUGGCGAACGGGUGAGUAACACGUGAGUAACCUGCCCUUGACUUUGGGAUAACUUCAGGAAACUGGGGCUAAUACCGGAUAGGAGCUCCUGCUGCAUGGUGGGGGUUGGAAAGUUUCGGCGGUUGGGGAUGGACUCGCAGCUUAUCAGCUUGUUGGUGGGGUAGUGGCUUACCAAGGCUUUGACGGGUAGCCGGCCUGAGAGGGUGACCGGCCACAUUGGGACUGAGAUACGGCCCAGACUCCUACGGGAGGCAGAAGUGGGGAAUAUUGCACAAUGGGCGGAAGCCUGAUGCAGCAACGCCGCGUGCGGGAUGACGGCCUUCGGGUUGUAAACCGCUUUCGCCUGUGACGAAGCGUGAGUGACGGUAAUGGGUAAAGAAGCACCGGCUAACUACGUG
rnacentral:rRNA from 1 species